AAGAACACCGACCGCUCCCUUCCCCCACCCCGGCACUCCGCUCACCCUCCACCCACUCACCUUCUUUUUCCCGCCCCACGGCACCCCACGCAAUGGGCCCCUUUGCUCCCCGCUGCUGCGCGCUGGCGCUGCUGUGCGCCGUGGUGGUGCUCGCCGCCGUGCUGGUGCGCGCCGAGUCGCUCACUGUGACGCGCGACGUCACCAUGUCGGACGCAUCAUUCGACGACUACACCAUGAUGCUCGACCUGUCCUCCUCGAGCGCGGACGUGGUGACGGUGCAGCUGAUAAACUCGCAGGUGUCCGGUAGUGGCCUCACCGUCAAGAACGCCAGGGGCAGCUCCCCCUCGUCGGCGCGGCUGAGCAUGAACAUGGCAAUCACCACAGUGGCGCAGUCCGUCAUCACCCUCUCCGGUGUCAUGCCCGCCAACUCCGACAUUCGCAUCGUCGCCACCACCGGCUCCCUCGCCCCCGCGCAGUCGCUCUUCGACUUCAGCGGCCUCGCACUCGACAGCAACGCCACCGUCAUGGUGGAGAACACCGCCGUCACGUGGCCGAAGGACUCCAUCAACACCGGCAGCAUCGUGCUCAUCAGUGCCGGCAGCAACGCCGUCGGCAUCAAGAGCACCGCCGCCCUCUUUGUGCUCAACGCCACCGCCAUCAACGGCGCGUCCGUGGUCAGCAUCGACACCCAGUCGUCCUUCCCCAUCACCAAAGGCGCCGCGCUCACCGUCGACUACGGCCAUUGCGAGCGGUGCUCCAGCGCGCUUGUCAGCAUCAACGUCCCGCUCGUCGUCGACGCCUCCAGUCUGUUCCGUGUGGCCAACUGCAAGGUCGUCGGCGCCAGCAACGGCCUGCUGACCUCCGCCGGCAGCAUCACGGUCAGCGACAAGUCCGCCUACGUUAUCCACGACAGCGCCGUCGAGUCCGGCGCCCUCUUCUCCUUCCCCACCGGCCUCGAGGACGCCAGCGAGGUGUACCCCUUCGCCGUGUCCGGCGGCUCGACCGUGUCCUUCCUCAACCUGAAGGGGUCCUCCACCGGUGUUGCCGCGGGCCAGAGCGUCCCCAACGCCUUGGAGCAGUCGAACGUCAUCGGCGGCGGCUGCGUCAUCAACGACAAGGAGCUCAGAGUCGCCUCGGAGUACAGAAGUCACGGCCUCAGUGUGGAGACCGUCGUCGACAGCCAGGGUGCCAGCAGCGGCACCUGCGCCAACGCCAAGUGCAUCCCCGGCAACACCAAGCCAGGCGCCACCGUCUCCGGCACCGAGCCCUGCGCCUGCCAGUGCUCCUCCACCAAGCACAACCCGCCCUUCUGCACGUCCGUCGUCGACCCCAUGCAGAACUACGACCCCAACGUGUGGUGCGCCGUGCCCAACUGCAUCACCUGCGACCGCCUCGACCCCUCCAACCGCUGCACGGAGUGCGACACGGGCUACAGCCUCACCAACGACUAUCAGUGCAAGGCCACCACCACCACCACCAAAGCGCCCACCUGCACCGCACCCUACUGCUCCGUGUGCGCCGCCGGCAGCGGGUCCGUCUGCAGCUCCUGCCGACCCCCCUACACCCUGUCCAACGGUGUCUGCGUCGCCAACACCAACGUCGCCGCCGGCGCGCACACCGCCGCCCUCGCCGCGGCCGUCUGCGUUGUCGCCGCUUUCUACGCCCUUUAGCGAGUGCGUGGUUGGUGGUCGUGGUCGUGGUCGUCGGCAGCGCCGGUGUGCGUUGGCGGCUGCCACGCUGUCCUUCCCAGUCUUUCCUUGGAUACACGUCCUCCCUCCUCCAUAGGCUAUGGUGCACACACGACGACGACGACGUGUGACGGGCAGCCGCCACCGCUGUCUGCCUCCCUCCCUCGACCCCCGCCCCCCAUUUCUCCGUCUUCUCUGCAGAUGACAGUCUGUGUAUAUACCGCAUUUCUUCCUAUCUGGUAUGUGUGCCUGUUCAUGUAUUCUCUCCACCCACCCCUCCCGCACUCUUUUCACUAGGUGUGUGCCUGUGUGUCGUCUUUGUGUCUCCGCUUUCCAUGUCUCUCUGUUCCGCGUACGCGCGUGAAACCCACACCUUGCACUGCGCGCCGCACCCCGAGAUGCCUCGCCUCUCGUUCUCCAUUAUUCAUUCUUGUUUUCUCCACCCCCCCCCGCCAGACGUGUGUGUGUGUAUGUAUUUUCCUUUAUGUGAACACCACCACACGCACACAUACACACGCCGCAUCCGUCGUGGUCUGGUCCCUCCUCUUGUUCCGCGCGGUAUGCAGCAAAGGCAGCCGCCAUGUGCACAACAGAAACAGAAACCCGCUCGCCUCAAAACACAUCGACGCUGCCGUCGUCGACUUCCCUCCACCCCCCCCCACCCGACCCCUCUGUCUCCCCAUCCCUACCUCACUCCUUCAAGCAUACCACACGCCGACAGCCACCACGCCGUCGCCCGUGCCGUGUGCCUCCUCUCCCCCUCCCCCAACUCUCCCCUUGACCCCCCUCCGCCACCCUCCACACUCCUAUCCUUUCGCUCACCCACCCGCUCCCCUCCUCCCACCCCCUCGCUUCACUCCCCGUCACCACCACCACCGUGUGUGUGUGCGGAGACUUCUCACGUUUAG
rnacentral:misc_RNA from 1 species